AGAGUUUGAUCCUGGCUCAGGACGAACGCUGGCGGCGCGCCUAACACAUGCAAGUCGAACGAGAGAGAAGGAGCUUGCUUCUUCGAUCGAGUGGCGAACGGGUGAGUAACGCGUGAGGAACCUGCCUCAAAGAGGGGGACAACAGUUGGAAACGACUGCUAAUACCGCAUAAGCCCACGGGUCGGCAUCGAUCUGAGGGAAAAGGAGCAAUCCGCUUUGAGAUGGCCUCGCGUCCGAUUAGCUAGUUGGUGAGGUAACGGCCCACCAAGGCGACGAUCGGUAGCCGGACUGAGAGGUUGAACGGCCACAUUGGGACUGAGACACGGCCCAGACUCCUACGGGAGGCAGCAGUGGGGAAUAUUGCACAAUGGGGGAAACCCUGAUGCAGCGACGCCGCGUGGAGGAAGAAGGUCUUCGGAUUGUAAACUCCUGUUGUUGAGGAAGAUAAUGACGGUACUCAACAAGGAAGUGACGGCUAACUACGUGCCAGCAGCCGCGGUAAAACGUAGGUCACAAGCGUUGUCCGGAAUUACUGGGUGUAAAGGGAGCGCAGGCGGGAGAACAAGUUGGAAGUGAAAUCCAUGGGCUCAACCCAUGAACUGCUUUCAAAACUGUUUUUCUUGAGUAGUGCAGAGGUAGGCGGAAUUCCCGGUGUAGCGGUGGAAUGCGUAGAUAUCGGGAGGAACACCAGUGGCGAAGGCGACCUACUGGGCACCAACUGACGCUGAGGCUCGAAAGCAUGGGUAGCAAACAGGAUUAGAUACCCUGGUAGUCCAUGCCGUAAACGAUGAUUACUAGGUGUUGGAGGAUUGACCCCUUCAGUGCCGCAGUUAACACAAUAAGUAAUCCACCUGGGGAGUACGACCGCAAGGUUGAAACUCAAAGGAAUUGACGGGGGCCCGCACAAGCAGUGGAGUAUGUGGUUUAAUUCGACGCAACGCGAAGAACCUUACCAAGUCUUGACAUCCUGCGACGAUGCUAGAAAUAGUAUUUUCCUUCGGGACGCAGAGACAGGUGGUGCAUGGUUGUCGUCAGCUCGUGUCGUGAGAUGUUGGGUUAAGU
rnacentral:rRNA from 1 species